rnacentral:lncRNA from 1 species
UUAUUUUCUUUCUAGAGAGAGGUAUUUCAGUGGGAUAAUCUCAAAGGCCAGGAGUGACCAGGCUGUCACAGGUCCCUGUGAAGCCGUCUGUUUGCCUGGGAGCCACAGCAGCCCCCGUGGUGCCAAGGGGGCAGAGCUCCAGGAGCCGCUUCCAGACAAGAGCUGACAUUGUCUGCAGGGCUCCCAUUGUUCCUCGAGGAUGGCAGCCGGCCUGGGCUGGGAGUGACAGGGGAUCCAGGACAAUGCAGUGGGGUUGGUCUCGGCAUCCCACGCUGGUUUGCUUCCUCCUGCUUCUGCAAUUCGGGGGUCCCCAGCAGUCCUCCUGUCAGCGCAGCGCCGCUGCCCGUCCCAGGGCAUGGCCCCACGUGUUAAGGGCUCCUGCAGCAGCGGGGGUGCAUCCACGGUGGCCUGGGGACCUGUCUCACAGAGGACUUUCUGCCUGAAGGGGAGCAUAUUUAACCCAUCUGGAAAUUACAGCUGCCAGAUAUCAUCCCUGGAACCACCAAGGGACAAUGGGACUUCUAAAGUACUGCUGAAACAGCAUCAAGCCAUUUGCAGCUCCACCGAUAUCAACCCUGACAUCUGUCUUUUGCGACAGGAUCAGCCCACAACAAGGAACUAUAAAAAGGGAGAACAAGAAGCUGACACCAGGGUUGGCAACGCGGCAUCGUGCAGAGCCGCAGGAGGGCUGGCUGGAGGCUGGACAGGGGCGCAGAGUGGGUUCUCAUCAGACUUACAAAGAGCGUUUCUCACACACGGCACGGUGUUUCUGGAGGCAGUCAGAAGGUGUCAGAGAGACAUUCAGGGCAGGACAGCCCCGUGACCCCAGCUGUGGCAAAGCUACAGCACUUCUUUGGCCUCCUUGAGGCAGAGCCCAUACACCCGGGGCAGGUACCUGGCUACCAACCCAGCUUCCAGCCUCUCUAGCCAAAACUGUUAGAUGUCCAAGAAAUCUUCACUGGAGAAUUGAAAGAGAUGGAGCUGCAGCCCUGUGGCUAAGCAAGGAUUUAAAUCCACAGUAGGCAGGCGCUUCGCCACCAGGCUUACUGAAAAAGUGUGGCUGUUUUUCUCUUUGUAGGGGAAAGAGGAAGAGGGAAAAGGUAGACAAGGGUUUUGGAAAAAAUAUUUGUGUGGCCUACUUUCCAUUCAGCUGUGCAACAACAAAACACAUUUUCAAAGCCCUGAAACAUUUUGGUUUCAGGAAAUGCUUUCAGUUUGGGCAGUUUACAAUUUUUCCUGUCUAGUUCUCACCAAGAGCACCUCCCAGUCCUUCUCCCAGGCAGGUAUUUUGUCCCCGGCUGUCCCUGUGCAAAACUGCACGUACCGGUGGCCCUGGGGAACCAGAGAAUAUAGCCAUAUGGACUCAUUAUGGGGUAUAUAUCCCAAACAUAUGUGCUUGUCUUCACACAUAAAAAAAAACACGCAUUGAUUGGUCUUGGACCUCUUCUCAAACACUGUGGGGAAAGCAGGUUUAGUGAUUUCAGGAGCUUGAGAUGGAGCCCUGCACAGAGGCCAGGAUUAGCGAAAAGGAAGGGAUAGGGCAGCUGGGAAACAUCGGUCCUGCAGGGGUGUCAGAAAGAUGCAGUUGUGCUCCAAGUUACACACAGACGCAGAGCUCCAGCCCUCAUAGUUGUCCACAACCCAGGGGAAGAGUAUGUUGCCCGUGAGACGCUGGAACAGAGGCACUGCUUUCAUUUUAAAGGAAACGUAGAAAAUCCCCAAAUGGAAAGUGUCUGUUCAGAGCAGGCUAGGUCUGCCACCCUCCUCUAUCUAGUCAUUGCCCUUCUGAAACUCAUUUACUGUGAAUUACGCCAGAAAACGUC